rnacentral:rRNA from 1 species
GGACCCUACUGCUAUCGGGGUGGGACUAAGACAUGCGAGUCGAGCGUCUCUAGCUAUGUUGAGACGCGGCAGACGGCUCAGUAACACGUGGCUAACCUACCCUCAGGACAGGGACAACCCCGGGAAACUGGGACUAAUACCCGAUAGGUGAGGAUGCCUGGAAUGGUUUCUCGCUCAAAGGGUCUUGGAUACAUGCUUCCAAGUCGCCUGAGGAUGGGGCCGCGUCCGAUCAGGUUGUUGGUGAGGUAACGGCUCACCAAGCCUAUAACCGGUACGGGCCGUGAGAGCGGUAUCCCGGAGAUGGGUACUGAGACAAGGACCCAGGCCCUACGGGGCGCAGCAGUCGCGAAAACUCCGCAAUGCACGAAAGUGUGACGGGGCUACCCCGAGUGCUCUCCGCUGAGGAAAGCUUUUCCUUGGUGUAACUAGCCAGGGGAAUAAGGAGAGGGCAAGACUGGUGU